rnacentral:misc_RNA from 1 species
UCAAACUUGGUCAUUUAGAGGAAGUAAAAGUCGUAACAAGGUUUCCGUAGGUAUGUAUCAAUCGAACGCUGUUCCUUCUUCUCCGGGCCUCUGCUAACGUGAAAUUUUCUAGGUGAACCUGCGGAAGGAUCAUUAAUGAGUUAGGGUCUUCUCAGGCCCGACCUCCCAACCCUUUGUCUACCUUUACCACUUGUUGCUUCGGCGGGCCCCGUCCUGACCACGGACUGCCGGAGGGCCGUAACACGCCCUCUGGCCCGCGCCCGUCGAUAGCCCCCCAACCUUAUUAACUCUUGAACUAAAACGUGUCAUAAUCUGAGUAACAACCAAAAAAUAAAAAGCAAAACUUUCAACAACGGAUCUCUUGGUUCUGGCAUCGAUGAAGAACGCAGC